UCAGGAUGAACGCUAGCUACAGGCUUAACACAUGCAAGUCAGGGGCAGCAUGUGGUUGCUUGCAACCAAUGAUGGCGACCGGCGCACGGGUGAGUAACGCGUAUCCAACCUCCCCUUAGUAGAGGAUAGCCCGGCGAAAGUCGGAUUAGUACUCUAUGCUCUUCAAUGCGGACAUCUAAGUUGAAGCAAAGAUUUAUCGCUAAGGGAUGGGGAUGCGUCUGAUUAGGUUGCAGGCGGGGUAACGGCCCACCUGGCCUACGAUCAGUAGGGGUUCUGAGAGGAAGGUCCCCCACACUGGUACUGAGACACGGACCAGACUCCUACGGGAGGCAGCAGUGAGGAAUAUUGGUCAAUGGGCGCGAGCCUGAACCAGCCAAGUAGCGUGCAGGAACCGACUGCCCUAUGGGUUGUAAACUGCUUUUAUCAGGGAAUAAAGUGAGGCACGCGUGCCUUUUUGUAUGUACCUGAUGAAUAAGGACCGGCUAAUUCCGUGCCAGCCGCUGC
rnacentral:rRNA from 1 species